UACGUAGGCAGCGAGCGUUGUUCGGAGUUACUGGGCGUAAAGGGUGCGUAGGCGGUUGUUUAAGUUUGGUGUGAAAUCUCCCGGCUCAACUGGGAGGGUGCGCCGAAUACUGAAUGACUAGAGUGCGGGAGAGGAGAGUGGAAUUCCUGGGUGUAGCGGUGAAAUGCGUAGAUAUCAGGAGGAACACCGGUGGUGUAGACGGCUCUCUGGACCGUAACUGACGCUGAGGCACGAAAGCUAGGGGAGCAAACAGG
rnacentral:rRNA from 1 species